CCGUUUCCCUCUACGAAAUUACUCCGAUCGCGGUAUCCCCGGGGAGAAUUCUCGGAUUCGUUAAUACCCGAAAACAGCGAUCCAGCCCCGUGUCAUUGCCCGAGUUAAUCAACAACCGCGGCCGACCGGGACGUAACAAUGAACUAUCGAACACUGGUGAGGAGAAGUGUUUCGCGGACCAACGCGACGCAAGCACUCGUCAGCCACGGAUACGCUCACAUUGCGGAUGGAAGAGCAGCAAGAAACAGAAGGAUUGUCGUCAAGCAACCUCCUCCACCGUAGAUCAUCGUCAAACAGCCUCCUUCACCGCACGCGAAUGUUUUCAAGAAGAUGUGGAAGACAGACGAGAACGACAAAACUUUAUGUUAAAAAACGUAUAUGCACAUAUAAAAUGUAUAUAAAAAUAAAAAUAAUUAAAUAAAAUAAUAACUGAUAGUUUAAAAGAAAAAAAAGAAAACCGUGGGCGAAAUGUUUAAGUAAAGGAAAGAAGAAGGAAGAAGUUUGCCAGAAAGGUCAAAUUAAGAUUUAUUAUUUACCUUAAGAAGAUUUAUUAUAAGCCUAUGAUGACGUGAUUAAAUUCAUUAUCUUAAACUAUAUAUUAUAGGCCUUGACCUUUAUUAAUUUCAUUAAGAAUCGUUAACAAUGUAAUAAUGGCAAUCUCAUGUAUAUAAUAUAGUAAAUAAUAAUGUGAAAUUUUCAACUUUGGUAUGUAGUGUAUAAUUUAUUUAUUAAGUAUGGACAAUAGUAUGCAGUUUGAUAUUCAUAUUUUUUAAUAGUAUAAUGUAAUAAAAUAUAGUAUAGUAUAAUAUAUAAUAUAGUCACUCUCUUCCACCUACUCCUCCUUUCCUUCC